rnacentral:pre_miRNA from 1 species
UCUUAUGGAUGAAAAAAGAAGGUGGAUUUUAGAAAUGGAAUCUACUCCUGGUAAAGAUGCUGUGAA